rnacentral:lncRNA from 1 species
UAUAUAUAUAUACAUUCUCACACUAUAUACAUACAUGUGUCCCAUACAGUGAACUUACCAUAUAUAUAUAGUUCCCCGUUACCUGUAGUACUCACAUCUAAAAUAAUUCCUCAUUACCUGUACAGUGUCACUCCCUGUACACAGUUUAUAUACAAUGCCAUUCCUCGUACAGAUCGAGAAAAUAAUCAAAACCCGUUUCUAUGGGUGACGAUUUGUUUACCUCAACAGGAGGCAGUAACCUGAAUCAGAAAUAACACAUGUAAAACUCAAAAAAGGAGUAAAACAAAAUGCAACACAUCUGAAAAGAAUAUCAAGAUUCUCCUUGGUCCACUGGUCAUUUGUGUCAGACAGCAACACAAGCUACAGGAAGAUAUUGUCCCUAUCUAGAACAUCUUGUGCAAGACAUAUGGUCAAAGGGAGGCAACUCACAAUACCUUUGCGUCUCCAACAUGGCAUAUUUUUAUGUACAGUUAACUUAAAGAAAAGAUAACAGAUUAUUAUCUAUGUUGAUAUUUGGUGAUAUGAUCAUAUCUCUUGUUUAAGAGCAGUAAGAUAAGUGAUGUGAACCAAUGUAGAUGACUAAAAACAUUGCUAAAGCACCUGGUACAUUGUAUUGUGUAUUAAUAUCACAAUUAAUCAAGGUAACAGUUACUUUGUAGCUAAAUGACAAUGUAUUACUACUUAACAAAAUGACAUCAUGUAUUACAAGGUAACAGUUACUUUGUAUCUAAAUGACAAUGUAUUACUACUUAGCAAUAUGACAUCAUGUAUUACAAGGCACCAGUAUGACAAAUACUAAAAGAGCACUAUAUUAAAGCAACAUGUUUUCAUCACAUACAUUAAUUUCAUUAAAAUGAAUUUAUCAACAAUAUAUCAGAAUUCUUAGGGUGAAAAAUGAUGUAUGAAAUUCUCUAUUUUACACAAGAACAUAUAACAUCCACACUUGCUUCUAUCUAUUUCUCUCCAUUUGUAAAUGCUCAUACUCGAUGCAUAGUCACAAUAGUGUAAACAUGAAAAGCCUAUAUAAACAUGUGGAAUACAUGUACUUGUGUUAUAUAUGAAAUAUGAGUAUUGAUUUCUGAUAAAUAUAAUAUAUACAAUCUGGACUACAUUUAUAGGAUAUAGGCAAGGCAGAAAUUCAUCUGAAAAAGCUGCUGCUGUUUUUAAUAAGUCACGUGAUUUGAUUUAAAACCCAUCAGCAGACAGCUAACACAACUAAUAUACAUAUUUAUACACAACCUUACACACUAUUCCACCCAUAACAUGUUCUUUUACACUCAAAACACACUAUUCUAAACCGUAACACCCUAAGACUCGCUCUAAAUCC